UAAGGAAUAUUGGUCAAUGGACGCAAGUCUGAACCAGCCAUGCCGCGUGCAGGAUGACGGCCCUACGGGUUGUAAACUGCUUUUGUACGGGAAAAAACCCUUCGACGUGUCGGAGGCUGAUGGUACCGUAAGAAUAAGGAUCGGCUAACUCCGUGCCAGCAGCCGCGGUAAUACGGAGGAUCCGAGCGUUAUCCGGAUUCAUUGGGUUUAAAGGGUGCGCAGGCGGGGCAAUAAGUCAGAGGUGAAAUCCUACAGCUUAACUGUAGAACUGCCUUUGAUACUGUUAUCCUAGAGUAUACUUGAAGUGGGCGGAAUGUAGCAUGUAGCGGUGAAAUGCUUAGAUAUGCUACAGAACACCGAUCGCGAAGGCAGCUCACUAAAUUAUAACUGACGCUCAUGCACGAAAGCGUGGGGAUCAAACAGG
rnacentral:rRNA from 1 species